GUUUUGUUCAAGGUUUCGUCUUCGUUGUCCCAUGCCAUUCUGAAAAAUUACCCCAACGCACAUAUUCUCAUCCCUUUUCGUUUGGUAAAAAUGAAAAAAAAAAUAAGUAAUGAAAAAAAAAAUUGUUCAAGUUCGUGCAAGAUUUUUCAUGGGUGGGUCCUGCUGCUUUAUUUUAUUAAUAUAGUUGUUUUGUGGAGUCUUCUUUUCAUUAAAGAUCAAUACAGUAAGUUGUAAUGUACUGAUCCUACUUGAUCUUCUACAUGAUGCG
rnacentral:misc_RNA from 1 species